UGGGGAAUCUUCCGCAAUGGGCGAAAGCCUGACGGAGCAACGCCGCGUGAGUGAAGACGGCCUUCGGGUUGUAAAACUCUGUGAUUCGGGACGAAAGAUAAGCAGACGAAUAAUCUGCAUAAGUGACGGUACCUAACCAGAAAGCCACGGCUAACUACGUGCCAGCAGCCGCGGUAAUACGUAGGUGGCAAGCGUUGUCCGGAAUUAUUGGGCGUAAAGCGCGCGCAGGUGGUUUAGAAAGUCUGAUGUGAAAGCCCACGGCUCAACCGUGGAGGGUCAUUGGAAACUAAUAAACUUGAGUGCAGGAGAGAAAAGUGGAAUUCCUAGUGUAGCGGUGAAAUGCGUAGAGAUUAGGAGGAACACCGGUGGCGAAAGCGGCUUUUUGGCCUGCAACUGACACUGAGGCGCGAAAGCGUGGGGAGCAAACAGG
rnacentral:rRNA from 1 species